GAUGAACGCUGGCGGCGUGCUUAACACAUGCAAGUCGAACGAUGAACCGGGUGCUUGCACUCGGGGAUUAGUGGCGAACGGGUGAGUAACACGUGAGCAACCUGCCCCUGACUCUGGGAUAAGCGCUGGAAACGGCGUCUGAUACUGGAUAUGUCCCGUCACCGCAUGGUGUGCGGGUGGAAAGAUUUUUCGGUUGGGGAUGGGCUCGCGGCCUAUCAGCUUGUUGGUGAGGUAAUGGCUCACCAAGGCGUCGACGGGUAGCCGGCCUGAGAGGGUGACCGGCCACACUGGGACUGCGACACGGCCCAGACUCCUACGGGAGGCAGCAGUGGGGAAUAUUGCACAAUGGGCGGAAGCCUGAUGCAGCAACGCCGCGUGAGGGAUGACGGCCUUCGGGUUGUAAACCUCUUUUAGCAGGGAAGAAGCGAGAGUGACGGUACCUGCAGAAAAAGCACCGGCUAACUACGUGCCAGCCGCCGCUGUAA
rnacentral:rRNA from 1 species